rnacentral:ncRNA from 1 species
UAGUAACUGCCACCGGGUAGUGUGCGUAAGCAUAUUGUACAUAUCAUUAGGUCUUAGAAGAUAUGUAGAGUAUGCUUUUUCUUUU